AUGGAUCCUGGGCAGCGCAGGGCGGCAGAAGACGCGCGGGGCUCGCAGUCGCUCGUGCCUGUGCUGCAGCCCCCGUACCGUGGCGACCCAGCGUUCGACACCACCAGGCAGAUCCCGCCAGACGAAUUGGAGGUGCUGCGCUGGAGAUGGUGGUCAGCGCGCACAAAUCGGAUCCAGGAUGCGGCGAGCAGGGUGCACCAGUGCCUUAGCGAGGUGAAGAUGGAGAAACAGAAGGCGAUGGUGCACGAGAAUUUGAGAGGAGAGAUGUUGCGCGAUGUGCAAAUCUGCCAAAGGAGGAUCGACCUCGAGACAGAGUUACUCGCGGAAAUUAUCGUUCUGGAGGCGAUGGAGGAGGAGAAAUCCAGGAUGCCACAACCCUGGAAGCAGAAGCCUGCCAAAAUCUUCCAAUGGGCAGUGACAGAAGCAAAAUCCGCAGACCCAGUACAGAAUCACCGUUGGGCAUGUGUUCUCAGGAAGCUCAACUGCCCACCGCCAGUGAAUGUGGAUCAGUUGCCUCAACUGUCUGCGAGCUUGAGCUAG
rnacentral:rRNA from 1 species